GUGCUCCCUUUGGCAACACAUAUACUAAAAUUGGAACGAUACAGAGAAGAUUAUCAUGGCCCCUGCACAAAGAUGACACACAAAUUCGUAAAGCAUUCCAUAUUUUU